rnacentral:rRNA from 1 species
GAUGAACGCUAGCGGCAGGCUUAACACAUGCAAGUCGAGGGGUAUUGGUUUUCGGACCAAGAGACCGGCGCACGGGUGCGUAACGCGUAUGCAAUCUACCUUUUGCAGAGGGAUAGCCCAGAGAAAUUUGGAUUAAUACCUCAUAGUAUAGUACUUUGGCAUCAAGGAACUAUUAAAGUCACAACGGCAAAGAUGAGCAUGCGUCCCAUUAGCUUGUUGGUGAGGUAACGGCUCACCAAGGCUGUGAUGGCUAGCUGGUCUGAGAGGAUGACCAGCCACACUGGGACUGAGACACGGCCCAGACCCCUACGGAGGCAGCAGUGGGGAAUAUUGCGCAAUGGGCGAAAGCCUGACGCAGCGACGCCGCGUGGGUGAUGAAGGCC